rnacentral:rRNA from 1 species
GACGAACGCUGGCGGCGUGCCUAAUACAUGCAAGUAGAACGCUGAAGGAGGAGCUUGCUUCUCUGGAUGAGUUGCGAACGGGUGAGUAACGCGUAGGUAACCUGCCUGGUAGUGGGGGAUAACUAUUGGAAACGAUAGCUAAUACCGCAUAAUAGCAGUUGUUGCAUGAUAACUGUUUGAAAGGUGCACUUGCACCGCUACCAGAUGGACCUGCGUUGUAUUAGCUAGUUGGUGGGGUAACGGCUCACCAAGGCGACGAUACAUAGCCGACCUGAGAGGGUGAUCGGCCACACUGGGACUGAGACACGGCCCAGACUCCUACGGGAGGCAGCAGUAGGGAAUCUUCGGCAAUGGACGGAAGUCUGACCGAGCAACGCCGCGUGAGUGAAGAAGGGUUUCGGAUCGUAAAGCUCUGUUGUAAGAGAAGAACGAGUGUGAGAGUGGAAAGUUCACACUGUGACGGUAGCUUACCAGAAAGGGACGGCUAACUACGUG